GGUGUCAUUCCAUGUUCUAUCAUCUUUUAACUGUCCAUUCAUCCAGAACUGUAUUACUUUUGUUACUGCUUCUCAAAGGGCAAGGUCUCUGGCUUGAGUACAACUGCAGUUAACAUUUUUAUACGCCCCUCCUAAGACGGGACGUAUUUGGUAUGGCGUUCAUGUCCGUCCGUCUGUUAGCUUUUUCGUGUCCGACCCGUAACUUAAAUACUACAGGGCCUAGAAUCAUCAAACUUUGUCUGUAGAUACAUCUUGGGUAGAAGGUGUGUCGCACAUUAAAACCAGGUCACUGUGACUUUUCAUUAAGAAGAUAUGGCCAUAUAUGGCAAAAACUUGUCCGGCUCAUAACUUGAAAACUAUUAGACCUAGACCUAGAAUCACCAAAAUUGGUCAACUAAUGCAUCUUAGGUAGAAGGUGUGUCGCAUCCUACUUUAAGGUCACUGUGACAUUUAAUUAAGGUGAUAUAAAAAAAGAAUGUUUUAAUGGGUACAAUCUAUACUGUUAACAAUAUGUGACGGGCGUAUCAUGUGCCGUGGCGGUGCACUUUAUUAAAUGUGUAAACAAGACAUCACACCUUCAUUUAAAUUAGAACAUGGAUAUAUUUAACAUGGAUGACAUUAUGUGAGAAUACCAAUAAAAACAUGGAUGCCAUUAUAUACAUGUAGCUGAAAAAUUGUUGAGUGUGGAGAUAAACAAUCAAUAAUCUCAUAAAAACAAAGCAAAUACAGAGGACAAGUUUGACUUUGAUGACAUAUUAUACUAGAAAUACUGCCCUUGAAAAUUUUAAUUCCACCACUUUUAACUUCAGAUGAAAUAUCAGAAUGUGAUAUGUUGGAUUUACAUUUAGUGCAAAAGUAUAUUGAGCAAAGAUGAAGGUCAAAAUUGUUUUAAAGUUGAUGGUAUUUGUCUUUUCAAAGUUACUGUCCUUGAAUUGUUAGAUUUUAAUAAUCAUUGUUAAAGUGAAUGAUAAUUGUAUUAUGGGUCAGUACAAGGAAUUCUUGAGGAGAUGAGCAGUAGGGAAACAAACAAAUUGUCUUCUCAGAAAGACUUACUGUAGUUUCAUCAUUUUUUGUCGAUCAUCAAUUUUCGUGGAUUUUGUUGUUGACUUCAUACAUGAAUUCAAAUGUUCAACGAAAUGUUAUGAUUACCUAUAUAUGUUAAAUAUAAAACAUUCAUCCAUGAAUUCAAAUAUCCUAGAAUCUAAGCAUCUUUGCUUGAACCGAAGCACCUACUGAAAACCAUGGAAUUCCAUGACCGGGAAUAUUAAUGAAACCAAAGUAACUAUUUUCAGUAAAGCUUCUCAAGAAAAUACAGCUUUGCCCCAUCCAUCUCACUGUGUUGUACUGUUAUUGCUUCUUGCUGGUUUACACCAGUAAAAUCAACACAACCACCAACAGCCAUAAAACAGAUUUGUAAUGUUAGACAAGCUAGAUGGCAACAUUUAAAAAGACAUAACUUUCAUAUUUUGGAAGACACAUUAUUUCGUUUUGGUGUUCAAAUUAUAAUGCAUUUACAGUUAAUAUAAAAUCAUACUUUUUGUUGUAGUGAAAUGGUCAAGAGAAGAUAGCAUUAUUGUAAGAAAUCAUUUUAGGGACUUUGUAUAUCAGACUGCCAUCUGCUCCACAAAUGAGAGACCACUGCAAAGCAAAGAGGCCAUUCUUCAAUUUCUCGCAACAACUAACUUACAGAGCAUCAGAGGUUUAACUGCACAUGAACAAUACACCAAAGUCAGAACAAAGCUAUUUAAUGACAGACUGUGAGAACAAAAACAGCAACAUCCAUGACAAAAAUGUCAGGAACAAAGUAAAAGCAAUAAACAGAUUUUAGAUCUACAGUUGAAGCUGAUACAUUACCCUAUUGUCUGUCCAUCUGUUGUCAUUUCUUGUCAUCACAUUUCCUUCUAAGUUAACGAGAAGAUUUGCAUGAGACUUUACCGGAAUGAUUUCCUAGUGAUUUAGUUGGUUCUAAUGAAUUUUAUGGAGUUCAACCCCUAAGGAGCCAUGACUUAAAAAGUCAUCACAUUUCCUCCUAGGUCAUUGAUUGGAAUUUGAUGAAACUGAACAAGAAUGAUCCCCUAGUUUCCAAGAUUUCUGAAUGUCACUUUCCUUUUUAUUCUUUGAGCAUAAGGGUUAAAGCUUGAAUUGAGACAUGGUCUAUGUCUUUGAGGUCAAAAGGUCAAGGUCACUGGCCUGAAUGAAUACUUAUAUUUUACAGUUUAUAGCUCUACUGAGCUUAUGUGAUACCCUGUCGUCUAUCCAUCUGUAAACUUAAGGUUCUUUACAUGGAACAGAUUUUGAUAAAACUCAUAAAAUGAGCUGGUAGUGGUCUAGAUGGUACAAAUCCAAUUUUAUUGGGUUCUGACCCCUAGGGGUCGAAUAAGGGGCCACACCCUUAAAACUUGUAAUAGCAUGAGGUAAUGAAUGGAUUUUGAUCAUACCUACCUAGAAUGAUUCCCUAGUAGUUUAGUUGGUCUUAAAUUUUCAUAGGGGUCUGACCCUCAGGGACCCAGUUAACUGCCACAUCCCAAAAAGUUUGUUAUUUGCCUCUUCUCCUAGGUUAUAAGUUGCAUUUUGAGGAAACUUACUAUGAAUGAUACCUGACUAGUGUGAUUGGUUCAAAUAAGCUCUCAUGGUGGUCCUACCCCUAAGGGCUUAGUAAGGGUGAACCCUAAAAAAAUUGUUAUUGCAUCUCUUCCUACAUUAUUGGUUGGAUAUUGAUAAAACUUACUCAGAAUAAUCCCCAAGUGGUCUAGUUGGUUUUAUAAAUUUUUAUGGGGGUCAGAACUCCAGUUCCCACUUAGGGGCCAAGCCCUAAAAAGUUUGGUAUCACAACUUCUCCUAGGUUUUUGGUUGUGUUUUGAUGAAACAUACCCAGAAUUUUCCCUUAUUGGUCUAAUUAGACCUUAUAAAUUUUCAUGGGGGUCCGUUCCCUAUGGGCCUAUUUAAGGGCCACCCCAAAAGUUCUCCUAAGGCAAUGGAUGGAUGUUGAUAAAACAUACAGCAUAAUCCUCUAAUGGUGUAGUUGGUCCUAAUGAAUUUUUAUCGGGGUCAGACCUCUAGGGAUCCCAUUAGGCACCUCAAGUUUGUUGUCCCAUUUCCUACUCCUAGGUAUUUGGUUCGAUUUUGAUGAAACUUAUGCAAAUUGAUCCCCUAGAAGAUUAUUUGUUCUUAUGAAUUUCAUAGGAAUUGACCCAGUUAAUGGCCAUCCCCAAAAAAGAUUAUUAUUGCAUCUCCUUCUAUGUCAUUGGCUGGAUUUUGAUAAAACUUUCGCAGAAUAAUCCCCUAGUGGUGUAGUUUGUCCUUAUGAAUUUUCAUGGGGCUCUUGACCCAGUCUGACAAAGUAAGAGGCAACCCCUUAAUAAAUCUGUCAUUGAAUCUUUUCUCAGGUUUUUGGUUGGAUUUUGGAGAAACUUUCCCAGAUUGAUCAUCUGGUGGUCUAGUUGAUCCUUAUGAAUUUUCAUAGGUGUCUGACUGUAGGGGCCAAGUAAGGGUAAUCACAUCUCCCAGGUUAUUAGUUGGAAUUUGAUGAAACUUACUCAGAAUAAUCGUCUAGUGCUUUAGUUGGUGCUAAUGAAUUAUCAUGGGUGUCCUACCCCUACAAGCCCAAUCAGGGACCACACCCAAAAAGUAAUGAUGGCAUCCUCCUAUGUUAUUGGUUGGAUUUUGUUGAAACUGACCAAGAAUGAUCCCCUAGUGUUGUAGUUGGUCCUAAAAAAAAUCCAUCCUUAGGGGCCCAGUAAGAGGUCACAUUCAAAAGAGUAUGUUAUUGCAUUUUCUCCUAAGAUACCAGCUGGAUUUUGAUGAAACCUGCCCUCAAUGAUCCCCUGAUGUAGUUUGUCCCAAUUCUUAUGUGGACAAGUCCCAAGGAACAAAGUUAAUGCUAUGCCUAAGUAAAUUUUAAGAAUUUAAUUAUUUCUGCAUAUGUCAGUAGAGCAUCAGGUCCUCUUGGACCUUUCAUGAACAUGCUGUAACCUACCUACAGGUGGGGAUACUCAUUUAAAUUUCACUUUAAAUAAUAUAAUCAUGUUGUCAUGAAUUCUUAAAAUGCUUUAUGUACAUCUCUGAGAAAUCAUAGUUACUUUUUAAAUUGCAAUAAUGUCUUAAAUACUGGGAGAUUGUUUCAAUAAAUGUUAAAAUGUU